GAGAGUUUGAUCCUGGCUCAGGACGAACGCUGGCGGCGCGCCUAACACAUGCAAGUCGAGCGAUGAAAAUUCGACGGAAUCCUUCGGGAUGAAGAUGAAUUGGAUUAGCGGCGGACGGGUGAGUAACACGUGAGUAACCUACCUUUGACAUGGGGAUAGCCUCGGGAAACUGGGAUUAAUACCCAAUGAAAUUAAUUGAUCACAUGGUCAAAUAAUCAAAGUGACUUAGCGGUCAAAGAUGGACUCGCGUCUGAUUAGUUAGUUGGUAAGGUAACGGCUUACCAAGACUUCGAUCAGUAACCGGCCUGAGAGGGUGAACGGUCACAUUGGAACUGAGAAACGGUCCAAACUCCUACGGGAGGCAGCAGUGGGGAAUAUUGCACAAUGGGGGAAACCCUGAUGCAGCGACGCCGCGUGAGCGAUGAAGGCUUUCGAGUCGUAAAGCUCUGUCCUAUGGGAAGAUUAGUGACGGUACCAUAGGAGAAGCCCGGCUUAUCA
rnacentral:rRNA from 1 species